AUGAGCAGCAAUCGAUGGGUCCUUUCGUCGGCUGCCCCUGGAGCGACCGGUCGUGUCCACUGCUGCUGCUUCUGCUGCCUUGAUAGCUGAACGAAGUUAGGAGAGGGAACGCCUUCUCGAUGUCCUUGAUGUCGGCGGGUAUGGAGGCAUCAGUUUGCACCGAACCAGUGAAGGCUCGCCCGGAAGGCGCGGUGAAGAAUAUCAACCCACAGACUGGAAAGCUACUCAAAGAUCCCUGGUCCAGCCUCUGCUACCGUCGCCACGUUUUCACCGCUCAGAAAAAUGACUGACGAAGGCUUAUUAUUUCUGUUAUUUUUUCACCAAAGACCCUACGAAACUGCUUUCCCUAUGACCCAGGCAAUGAUAUAACGGACUAUCCUAAUCGAUUGGCUUUUGUUUUUGACCGACUUAUAUCGGUUGUGUCGUUUUUAUUUCAAACGCAAGUUGUCGGUGGCUGGGUGUCGUCCAUAUGACAGUAAAGGAUCCAUUCAUUUAGAUUUAUUUAACUUCUGUGUUGAAAUAUCUACCUACAGGUCCACCACCUCCUUUGUAAGAGGUACCUAUCAAUUUCACUAGAUAGAAUACUUUCGAAAGUGGGUUCAUAUUAGUUAAAUAUCGAAACGAAUGGACUGUUCAUGGGCCAAACAGUUGCUGUGAUAACGUGCACCUUUCUAAUGUCUAUGUUCCUGUCCAGUUUGUAUAAUUUUAAUUAUUUCAUGAUUAGGAAAUCAGUUUGAUCUUAUAUGCGUUUUAUAUUCAUUUGGUUAAGUUUGUAUGAAGAAUGGGUUGUGUUAUAUUACUUUAAAAAUCUACUUUUAAUUUAGUAU